rnacentral:rRNA from 1 species
GUCCUGGCCCUAAACGAUGAGUGCUUGGUGUGGCGGGUAUCGAUCCCUGCCGUGCCGAAGCUAACGCAUUAAGCACUCCGCCUGGGGAGUACGGUCGCAAGGCUGAAACUCAAAGAAUUGACGGGGGCCCCGCACAAGCGGUGGAGCAUGUGGUUUAAUUCGACGCAACGCGAAGAACCUUACCCAGGCUCGAAAUGCAGGUGAUCGACGGUGAAAGCCGUUUUCCGCAAGGACACCUGUAUAGGUGCUGCAUGGCUGUCGU